rnacentral:rRNA from 1 species
GAUGAACGCUGGCGGCGUGCCUAAUACAUGCAAGUCGAGCGAACAGAUGAGGAGCUUGCUCCUCUGACGUUAGCGGCGGACGGGUGUGUAACACGUGGAUAACCCACCUAUAAGACUGGGAUAACUUCGGGAAAACGGAGCUUAUACCGGCUAAUAUAUUCAACCGCAUGGUGCAAUAGUGAAAGGCGGUUUUGCUGUCACUUAUAGAUGGAUCCGCACGGCAUUAGCUAGUUGGUAAGGUAACGGCUUACCAAGGCGACGAUUCGUAUGCGAGCUGAGAGGGUGAACAGCCACACUGGAACUGAGACACGGUCCAGACUCCUACGGGAGGCAGCAGGGGGGAAUAUUGCACAAUGGGCGCAAGCCUGAAGCAGCCAUGCCGCGGGUAUGAAGAAGGCCUUCGGGUUGUAAAAUACUUUUAGUGGGGAGGAAGAGAGUUAAUUUAAAACCUUUGCUCAUUGACGGUACCCGAAGAAGAAGCCCCGGCUAACUCCGUG